AAAAACAGUUGGAGCUAAGCCUAUGGCUGAGAGGCUUUUGGGACUGGGCUUUGACUGGUGGCUGAUGGUGGAGAAGAAUCUGAGGCUUUUUGACUUCUGACAGAGGUGACUGAGAAUCAACCUCAAGAAAGACACAGGUAGAAAGAGAUCUUGUGGUUUGAAGAGAAGAGACUUCUGGAUCUAUGGAAUGAGGUUAACUGGUAGCUAGGGGAGUAUUCAUUAGAGAUAAGAGGAUAACUGGGAAAAAUAAAAUGUCUUUGAAUAAAGAAAAAGAAAGAGAUAAGAGAAGACUAGGCUUCUAGACUUGCUUGCCAGAAGGCAUGAACUUUAGGGGAGGUAGUGCAAUGUUAAAACUAAAUGGAAAAUACCUAAUUAGCAAUUCCACAAACUACUUUCCAUUUAGAUGAUUUAAAGGGAAAACUUCCCAACCAGAUAUAACAAUAGUUCUACUUGCCACUUGCUUAGCUUCUUACAGUCAAUAUAUGCUUUUUGAGAUUUGUGUUUUAGCAUUUCUUUUGUGUUUAGGAAAUAAAUGCUUGGCCUAUACCUUGUUUAGGUUGUACAUUGAGUAACUUUCAAUUUCUUAGACAUAGUACAACAACUUAUGCUUUAAAUACUUUAUUUGUAGCAUUGGGCUUAAGGAAUUGAAAAGUAUGGGGAAAGAGAUCCUCACUGUUCUCUUUAGAGAUCAGGUUCCUCCAGGACUGGUUCUCCACACUGUUUAGUCAGGAAUCACAAAAGGAUAAUCUACACCAAUAUAUAACCCAUAUUACACAAGUAAAUACAUUCAUUUUGAAUUUCCAAAUAUAUGGGGUCCAUUUCAGAGUCAGCGAAAAAUCAGGAACAAAGAAGAGAGAUCAAGCUUUGUAAUUUUUUAAAAAUUAUAUAUCUCUGAAUUUUAAUUGUCUUACUCUAGAGACUAAAAAUAAACUUGGACAACCCUGGAUGAAGAUCAAAGUUGGUAAUGUAUAUGACUAUACUUUGAAAGCUUUGGAAUUUCUCCUCAUUUAUCAAGACUAAUUCUUUAGGAGUUUUUAAUUUUAAAAAAUUACUAAAAAUCUAAGCUGAGAUGUUAUUGUAUCCCAAUUUACGGAGAAGCCUUUUUUUUUUCCUUCUUAGGUGGGUGGCUCCUAACAGACAGCAAACUGAGAUCUUUCCUCUACAACUUCAUGGAAUUCAGCCUGUUGCUCUCAACAAUGUCAUAGUAACCAGUUAAACCUGAGCACUUGUGGGAUUUGUGCCAGAUCCAGGACAACUCUAAGGGACUCAUGAUGAAAAAGGCCAUGCAUUAUCAUAGAAUGAACUGACAGAGUCCAAAUGUAGAUUGAAACACACUAUUCACUUUAUUUCCUCCAUGAAGUUUUCUCUAUUGUAAGUAGUGUGUGUCUUCUUUCACAACAUGACGAACAUGGGCAUUUGUAUUGUAUGACUGCACAUGUAUGAUCUAUAUCCUAUUGCUUAAUGUCUCAGGGAGAAUGGUGGUUUGGAGGAGGGAGAGAACAUGGAUUGUCAAAUGUCAAAAGAGGGUUAUUACAUUUUC